UUUGGAAGGAAUGAUGCUAAAGCUGAAACUCCAGUACUUUGGCCACCUCAUUCGAAGAGUUGACUCAUUGGAAAAGACCCUGAUCCUGGGAGGGAUUGGGGGCAGGAGGAGAAGGGGAUGACAGAGGAUGAGAUGGCUGGAUGGCAUCACUGACUUGAUGGACUUCUGUCCUCUGGACCGAGCCGAGGAAACAGGCACCAGAGACCAGACCAGAGCUGGGAAAGCCGGACGCGGCUGGCUCCCAGGAUUCACGGGAAUGUCGGAUCUUUCACCUCUGCUGUCCUCUCUCCCUUCUUCUUCAAGCACUGAGGCGCCUCCAGAGUGAGCCAGGCAAAGAUGAUUGCAUUCUGCUGGUGGUGUGCGGCCUUUCUCCAGCUCUGUGGCCUGUGGUGCAGUUAUUCACUGUCAAAUGCAAUAUGUUGUGAUUUCCUGCCUAAUUCAAAUUUUAUGAACAUUCUGCAGUCUUACUCUUUUGUUUCUCUGCUAUUUCUAGC
ensembl:lncRNA